GGCGUUAAGUUGCAGGGUAUAGACCCGAAACCCGGUGAUCUAGCCAUGGGCAGGUUGAAGGUUGGGUAACACUAACUGGAGGACCGAACCGACUAAUGUUGAAAAAUUAGCGGAUGACCUGUGGCUGGGGGUGAAAGGCCAAUCAAACCGGGAGAUAGCUGGUUCUCCCCGAAAGCUAUUUAGGUAGCGCCUCGUGAAUUCAUCUCCGGGGGUAGAGCACUGUUUCGGCUAGGGGGCCAUCCCGGCUUACCAACCCGAUGCAAACUGCGAAUACCGGAGAAUAUUAUCACGGGAGACACACGGCGGGUGCUAACGUCCGUCGUGAAGAGGGAAACAACCCAGACCGCCAGCUAAGGUCCCAAAGUCAUGGUUAAGUGGGAAACGAUGUGGGAAGGCCCAGACAGCCAGGAUGUUGGCUUAGAAGCAGCCAUCAUUUAAAGAAAGCGUAAUAGCUCACUGGUCGAGUCGGCCUGCGCGGAAGAUGUAACGGGGCUAAACCAUGCACCGAAGCUGCGGCAGCGACGCUGAUGCGUUGUUGGGUAGGGGAGCGUUCUGUAAGCCUGCGAAGGUGGCCUGUGAGGGUUGCUGGAGGUAUCAGAAGUGCGAAUGCUGACAUAAGUAACGAUAAAGCGGGUGAAAAGCCCGCUCGCCGGAAGACCAAGGGUUCCUGUCCAACGUUAAUCGGGGCAGGGUGAGUCGACCCCUAAGGCGAGGCCGAAAGGCGUAGUCGAUGGGAAACGGGUUAAUAUUCCCGUACUUGGUGUUACUGCGAAGGGGGGACGGAGAAGGCUAUGUUGGCCGGGCGACGGUUGUCCCGGUUUAAGCGUGUAGGUGUGUGUUCCAGGUAAAUCCGGUUCACUUUAACACUGAGGCGUGAUGACGAGGCACUACGGUGCUGAAGCAACAAAUGCCCUGCUUCCAGGAAAAGCCUCUAAGCAUCAGGUAACAUCAAAUCGUACCCCAAACCGACACAGGUGGUCAGGUAGAGAAUACCAAGGCGCUUGAGAGAACUCGGGUGAAGGAACUAGGCAAAAUGGUGCCGUAACUUCGGGAGAAGGCACGCUGACACGUAGGUGAAGUGAUUUACUCAUGGAGCUGAAGUCAGUCGAAGAUACCAGCUGGCUGCAACUGUUUAUUAAAAACACAGCACUGUGCAAACACGAAAGUGGACGUAUACGGUGUGACGCCUGCCCGGUGCCGGAAGGUUAAUUGAUGGGGUCAGCGCAAGCGAAGCUCCUGAUCGAAGCCCCGGUAAACGGCGGCCGUAACUAUAACGGUCCUAAGGUAGCGAAAUUCCUUGUCGGGUAAGUUCCGACCUGCACGAAUGGCGUAAUGAUGGCCAGGCUGUCUCCACCCGAGACUCAGUGAAAUUGAACUCGCUGUGAAGAUGCAGUGUACCCGCGGCAAGACGGAAAGACCCCGUGAACCUUUACUAUAGCUUGACACUGAACAUUGAGCCUUGAUGUGUAGGAUAGGUGGGAGGCUUUGAAGUGUGGACGCCAGUCUGCAUGGAGCCGACCUUGAAAUACCACCCUUUAAUGUUUGAUGUUCUAACGUGGACCCGUGAUCCGGGUUGCGGACAGUGUCUGGUGGGUAGUUUGACUGGGGCGGUCUCCUCCUAAAGAGUAACGGAGGAGCACGAAGGUUGGCUAAUCCUGGUCGGACAUCAGGAGGUUAGUGCAAUGGCAUAAGCCAGCUUGACUGCGAGCGUGACGGCGCGAGCAGGUGCGAAAGCAGGUCAUAGUGAUCCGGUGGUUCUGAAUGGAAGGGCCAUCGCUCAACGGAUAAAAGGUACUCCGGGGAUAACAGGCUGAUACCGCCCAAGAGUUCAUAUCGACGGCGGUGUUUGGCACCUCGAUGUCGGCUCAUCACAUCCUGGGGCUGAAGUAGGUCCCAAGGGUAUGGCUGUUCGCCAUUUAAAGUGGUACGCGAGCUGGGUUUAGAACGUCGUGAGACAGUUCGGUCCCUAUCUGCCGUGGGCGCUGGAGAACUGAGGGGGGCUGCUCCUAGUACGAGAGGACCGGAGUGGACGCAUCACUGGUGUUCGGGUUGUCAUGCCAAUGGCACUGCCCGGUAGCUAAAUGCGGAAGAGAUAAGUGCUGAAAGCAUCUAAGCACGAAACUUGCCCCGA
rnacentral:rRNA from 1 species